rnacentral:lncRNA from 1 species
UGCCUUCUAUAAAUGGGAGCCCGUGCCAUUGCCUCGGACGGGAGCGCUUGAGAGAAAGCGAGGGUGGCUCUUUUGAAUUAGGGUUUCGAUCUAGAGUCCUGGAACUCCAUCUCUGCGCCACUCUCUCUCUCGGGCUAGUUACGGUUUCGAAGAAAUGCCAGAGGAACUCUAGUUUCUGUUCUUUUUCCGCAUUCGUUGUUGAAAAUAUCAGAUUCUUGGGUUUUUUACCGACUCUUGGGGCUCUCUGAUUCUUGGUUUUCUUUUUGUAUUCAUAGAUCCGUACUCUUGACAUAACGGGUGCGGUGUCGGUAUCCUUAAACGUG